rnacentral:tRNA from 2 species
UCCUGGUUAGCUCAGUUGGUACAGCGCUCCAUUUUAAAUUGAGAGGUUCAUGGUUCAACACCAGGACCAGGAG